rnacentral:rRNA from 1 species
AGAGUUUGAUCAUGGCUCAGGACGAACGCUGGCGGCGCGCUUAAUACAUGCAAGUCGAACGAGAAGCCAGAGCUUGCUCUGGUGGAAAGUGGCGAACGGGUGAGUAACACGUGAGAAACCUGCCCCAAAGAUUGGGAUAAGCCUUGGAAACGAGGUCUAAUACCAAAUACCUUCCUUUUAACACAUGUUAAUAAGAAGAAAUGCUCCGGCGCUUUGGGAUGGUCUCGCGAUCUAUCAGCUUGUUGGUGAGGUAACGGCUCACCAAGGCAUCGACGGAUAGCUGGUCUGAGAGGAUGUCCAGCCACAUUGGAACUGAGACACGGUCCAAACUCCUACGGGAGGCAGCAGUAGGGAAUCUUGCACAAUGAGGGAAACCUUGAUGCAGCGACGCCGCGUGCGGGACGAAGGCCCUAGGGUUGUAAACCGCUUUCAGUAGGGACGAAAGUGACGGUACCUACAGAAGAAGCCCCGGCCAACUAUGUG